AGGGUUUGAUCCUGGCUCAGAGCGAACGCUGGCGGCGUGGAUGAGGCAUGCAAGUCGAACGAGAAAGCGGGGGUAACUCCGCGAGUAAAGUGGCGAAAGGGUCAGUAAUGCAUGGGUAAUCUGCCCUCCGGACUGGGACAACUCGCCGAAAGGCGGGCUAAUACCAGAUGACGUCAUUGAGGGGCAUCUCUCGAUGACCAAAGUUAGGGACCGCAAGGCCUGACACCGGUGGAGGAGCUCAUGUCCUAUCAGCUAGUUGGUGAGGUAACGGCCCACCAAGGCUUACGGGUAGCCGGACUGAGAGGUCGAUCGGCGACACUGGGACUGUGACACUGCCCAGACUCCUACGGGAGGCUGCAGUCGAGAAUCUUUAGCAAUGGGCGAAAGCCUGACUAUGCGACGCCGCGUGUGGGAUGAAGGCCCUCGGGUUGUAAACCACUGUCAGGGGUUAAGAAAGGGCCGGUGCGAAUAUCACCGGCCUUUGACGAAGGCCCCAGAGGAAGCCACGGCUAACUCCGUGCCAGCAGCCGCGGUAAUACGGAGGUGGCGAGCGUUGCUCGGACUUACUGGGCAUAAAGGGCGCGUAGGCGGUUCGACCAGUCAGGUGUGAAAUCCCUCGGCUCAACCGAGGAAUGGCGCUUGAUACUAUCGAGCUGGAGUGCAGGAAGGGAGAAUGGAAUUCCCGGUGUAGCGGUGAAAUGCGUAGAUAUCGGGAAGAACGCCGGCGGCGAAAGCGGUUCUCUGGCCUGUAACUGACGCUGAGGCGCGAAAGCUAGGGGAGCAAACAGGAUUAGAUACCCUGGUAGUCCUAGCCGUAAACGAUGUGCACUAAGUAUGGGCCCCUCCCAUGGGGUCCGUGCCGAAGGAAAUCUAUUAAGUGCACCGCCUGGGGACUAUGACCGCAAGGUUAAAACUCAAAGGAAUUGACGGGGGCUCGCACAAGCGGUGGAGUAUGUGGCUUAAUUCGAAGCAACGCGAAGAACCUUACCAGGGCUUGACAUGCUGGUAGUAGGAGCCUGAAAGGGCAACGAUUCCCGCAAGGGAAAGCCAGCACAGGUGUUGCAUGGCUGUCGUCAGCUCGUGUCGUGAGAUGUUGGGUUAAGUCCCCUAACGAGCGAAACCCUUGCCGUUAGUUGCCAACGCGUCAUGGCGGGCACUCUAGCAGGACUGCCGUUGUAAAACGGAGGAAGGUGGGGACGACGUCAAGUCAUCAUGGCCCUUAUGUCCUGGGCUGCACACGUACUACAAUGGCCAGUAUAGAGGGAUGCAAAGCCGCGAGGUGAAGCAAAUCCCAAAAAAACUGGCCCCAGUUCAGAUCGCAGGCUGCAAUUCGUCUGCGUGAAGUCGGAAUCGCUAGUAAUCGCGGAUCAGCUACGCCGCGGUGAAUAUGUUCCCGAGCCUUGUACACACCGCCCGUCAAGCCACGAAAGC
rnacentral:rRNA from 1 species